AUUGAACGCUGGCGGCAGGCUUAACACAUGCAAGUCGAGCGGAGAUGAGGUGCUUGCACCUUAUCUUAGCGGCGGACGGGUGAGUAAUGCUUAGGAGUCUGCCUAUUAGUGGGGGACAACAUUCCGAAAGGAAUGCUAAUACCGCAUACGCCCUACGGGGGAAAGCAGGGGAUCUUCGGACCUUGCGCUAAUAGAUGAGCCUAAGUCGGAUUAGCUAGUUGGUGGGGUAAAGGCCUACCAAGGCGACGAUCUGUAGCGGGUCUGAGAGGAUGAUCCGCCACACUGGGGCUGAGACACGGCCCAGACUCCUACGGGAGGCAGCAGUGGGGAAUAUUGGACAAUGGGCGGAAGCCUGAUCCAGCCAUGCCGCGUGUGUGAAGAAGGCCUUUUGGUUGUAAAGCACUUUAAGCGAGGAGGAGGCUACCUGGAUUAAUACUCUAGGAUAGUGGACGUUACUCGCAGAAUAAGCACCGGCUAACUCUGUGACAGCCGCCGCGGUAACAC
rnacentral:rRNA from 1 species